UUUGCCAACUUCUAAGGUAUAAGGGUAUUUUAGAGUAAGAAUUGUGCAAUUGAUUGGCAAGAAAUUAAGAACUACAGUAUAAUAAUAACUAUAGAAAAAGAGAUAUUCAAAAUAUGUGGCAACCAGUGUCCUUGCUGCACCAAGAACUAAUCCUUGGGUUGCUGGAUUUGGAAGUGGGAAUGGGGAAACCUGUCCCAGGGAAGACACUGAGAGAGCAGAGGUGAAUGUUCUCAUGAGGCAGCAGUUAUUACUACCUGAUGUGGAAUAACUUCAAUACUGUAACUACUGAUACAGGUACAUAUUAGAUAAAUAUCAACUUGCUUAUGAUGAGAAUGAAGUUACAUCAACCAACAUGGAUAAUAAAGAAGAUGCCUCUAAAAUACCAUUCAUUAUUUGACCCAUCCAAGGUCAAGUCCUAUUUCCCAAAACAAAAGUCCAUGAAGUUAAGACCUGAUAGAGAUCACACAUCUUUUACCAAUUCUAAUCUCAUUUUUCUGUUCUAAGGAUUCUAAGGGAUUCACAAGGAUUCCCUGUAUUCUCUGCUUCUCAGUGAACUCAUCCCAGGGUGACACAUUGGCUCUCUCCAUUUUGUAGAUGUACAAAGAAAGACAACAUUGAAGGAUGGAAUCGUGUAAGGGAAGAAUCCUUCAAAACAGAAGAAGCUGAUUGGCACCCACUCUGGAAUGCAGCUCCUGGCUGUCACCUCCAAGUAGACAAAAGUUCUGGCCUCUAUCAGAACCCUGCCUGCCACAAUGACCUGGACCCUGAUUUAGUUAUCAUAUUAUUAAUAAUUAUUAUUGCCAUGGGUGUUUAUUGACCCUCUGCUAUCUACCAUGCACUUUGCCAAGCACUUUUCACACAUUAUUUCAUUUAAAAUCUUAACAGCAGCCAUGGAAGGUUAAAGCUAUCAUUAUCCUCAUUUUAUAGAUGAGGAAACAGUUUGCCCAAGAUUAUAUGGCUAGUAAGGACUAGAGGCAAAAUGAGAAACUAGAUCUACCUGGAUUUUAUUAGAGGUUCCUUAACCAAUUAAAUUAGGAUGUUUAUAAUUCACUUUGGGGAGAAAGUUCAAUUUGCCAUUCCUGGGUCUUUCUAGACCAGAGUUAAAAGUAAUUCCAAGAAAAUACUAAACCACUUCACAUUUCACAACCAUAGGAGUGAUUCUUCUGUAUAGCCAUGCCCUUGACUGCUGGUGGCAAAAAAAAAAAGGCGGGGGGCGGGUGGGCCAAGACACAGCCAAGAGUCCUUCUGUGUUCAGCUCCAUGCUGACUUGCUUGUCACUUAACUUUUCCAAACCUCAGAUCCCUAUGUAGAAAAUGAACUUUAUUCUUGUCCUAAAUACCUUGUUUGUGAGUAUCAAAUAAGACAAUGUGUGUAUAGGUACUUUUGAAAGUACAAAGGGCAAGGAACCUUGAUUACUCCUCAUGCAAAUUACUUCCACCCUCAAAACCCAAAAGCAAUGUAACUUUUAUAUAGCAUUUUGCAAAAGACCGAGUGAGGGGUUUUAGAAAUACAGACAAACCUUAAUGUAAAAAAGUCCCCUGUGUAAUAUUUCCCCAUGUUUAGCAUUAAUAAGUCCUGAGGAAAAGUCAUUGACUCAAUGCUCCUUGCCCCCAUCUAAUGCUUUUGAUUUAAUGUUUCCUCUCUAAGUGCAUGAAUUUUUGAAAUGCAGGAAAUUUUGCCACAGGACUUAAGAGUCUCCUGUGACUUGAUGUUAAGGUAUUUCCUUAGUCAUUUUGGUCUGUGCUCCCUGGGAGCAAAUUAGAGCUUUGGCCGUGAGUUGAUACACGUCCUGUUUUAACUAAAGAUGAUAGUUGGCUCAAUUACUCAAAAAUAUUACAUCAAGGCUUAGGAUUACAUUUGCAAGAAGGACUAAUUUUUUAAAAAAACUAAUAUAUGGCAGUAAAGGGAACAAAGGAAUUUUUUAUUGACUAUUUUUAAAAAUAACUUUUUUUAAGUUGUAAAAGCAAUAUAUGCCCAUGUUUUAAAAUUCAAAGAGGGUACAUAAAGUGAAAUGGAAAAGUACUCACUCCACAUACAUUCUACUUUCAAUGGUAAACACCAGUUUCUCAUACAUGCUUUGAGAAUUUUACUAUGACUAUACAAGCAAAUGGAUGUAAAUAUAUAACUAUUUUUAACACAGUAUCAUUCAUGCUAUAGACUGCCCCCAAAAUGCUUUUUUCCUAAAAGUAUGUUUGUAUACUUUUUAAUAUUCUCAUGUAUUGCUCAGUUUUAAGCUCUCUCCUCUGCAGUAUUCCAUUGCAUGGAUAUAACAUAAAUUAUUUCAAUAUUUUUCUCUGGCUGAAUACUUAGUUGUUUAUGGAUUUUUAAUAACACAAACAAUGCUGCAACCAAAACUUCACCACAUGUCUUUGCUCAGUUAUGUGAGCUCACCUGUAGAAAAAUUCUUAUAAGUAAAAUUGAUAGGUCAAAAGGGAGGUGCUAAUCAAGUGUUGAUAGAUUUUUUAAAUGCAAAUUACCAUCUAAAGCUGGUUGUACUAAUUUGCUUUUCCCCCACACUUACUAUUGAGAGCCCCGCCUUUGCCAACAAUGGGUAUAGAUGAUAUGAGAACCUAUUAAACUAAGAUGGAUACUAUCAAUUUUCAGCAGACACUGGAUUAAAACAAGUAUUGUUUUAGGUCUUAGAUAACAAGAAACUGGAAAUGCCUGCCCCUAAAUGUACUGUGAAUCUCCAGGCCUUGAGCUCUGAGAAGAAAUCACGUUGAAGUGAAAUAAAUCUCAAAAGAGGGGCUUAACACUCAUGGAGUGUCUAUUGCAUGCCAGGCACUGUUCUAAGUACUUUAUAUACCUUAAGUCUCCUAUAAUUCCCAACCACCCUAUUAAAAAGGUGCUUUAGUCAUUUCCAUUUUAUAGACAAAAAAACUAAGGCACAGAGAAGUUAAUUCCCCAAGGUCACUCGGCUGAUAAAUGAUAAUGCUCAGAUUUGAGCCUAGGAAGUUUGGGUCCAGGGUCAGGUGCUUUUAUCCACUUAUGCAUUCUGUCUCUGUGCUCCUAAUGAUAUGCUAAACACAUUUAUUGAAUACCUACCCUAUGCCAGGACUGACACAUGCACCAUCUUAUCCUCACAGCAAUACUAAGAAGUAUUAUUCCUGUUCCAGAGAUAUUAAAGUGGCUUUCCAAAGUGACAGCAAGGGGAUGUGCACUGGGGCAUGUCUGAUUCCAAAGCCUGUAUUUAUUCCACUACACCAUGCUUCUUUUUAGGAACUAGUUGUCAUAAUAUUCAUUUUACAGAUAAGAAAAUCAAGACUUCAGAAUGAGACAUAUAAGGGGUUUUAAAUGGGGUCAUCCUUGCUAACAAACAGAACCUACCAGGGAGCUCCAUCACAUCUAGUUCUUCCUUCAUCAGACUGCUAUAUAGUUGGAAUAUUCAUGUAUAUUUAAUUACAUAUACAUGGUCAUAGAGUAGCAUAUAGUGGCAAUUUGCUAUUUCCCAUAAAGUAUGAGCUCAAAUUGUCCAGUGUGGACUAAAAUUGAAGGCAGAAUUAAAGUCUCCCAAUUCAAGUAUCAACAAAGCCCAUUUUAAAAGAGUGAUAUAGUUAGGUGAGGAUGAGCAGAUGGACUCCCACACUGCAGAGACAUACAUCACUAGAAUAUGGUAGCAACAUAUUUUUAAGCUCAGUGAGAAAUUCAUUAUCAGUCCAUCAAAAAAAUAGGUUUGGUGCUGGUUCCUGAAUUUACAACUGUAUUUCCUUACAGUAUACAGGAAAGUUUGAGAGCCCAGGAAAGGUAAGAAGAGCGGCCCAAGGAUGGAGAGCUUCAGAGAAGAGCCUUCUGGGUGGGCAAACCCUACCAGCCAAUCACUGCUUCUGCUCACACCCUCCAUGCCCAGCUCAAUGUCUAAGAGCUCAGGCCCUGGGUCCAAAUCCACUCUGCUACUUGACCACUGUGUUACCUUCAACAGGUUAUCAAGCCUCUCUAGCAGUUUUCCUCAUCUGUAAGAUAGGCAGUAACCAACAGUGCCUGCCUCAUUCAUCUGCCAUGAAGAUUAAACAUCGUCCAUACAGAUCGCUUCCCUAAAGUUUUGAGUUAGAGCACAGAAUUACAAAUGUCUACAUACACAGACCCCUCCCUUUUAUGUUUCAGUAUCUUAUUCAUUUUUUUUAAUGAAAUCAGGAAAACACAUUGUCCUAUGUCUAAGUCUGAGACAAAAAAGGGAAUUUAUACUCAUUGGCUUACGAUAGCUCUAUGCUCUGGAGGUCAGAGUGUGCAAAUCCUGUAUUUCUAUGUCUGGCAGCCCUAGUGAGGAAUGAGGCAUUAGAUCUCUGUUAUCACUGUCACAAAACAAACAAUAUGUUACCAGCUUAUCUUUUGAUUGUCACAGCUUGUUAGGCACAAGUCAAUGUAGGCAGUUAUUCAGUCAGAUUUGGAGGUUAAUUUGAUUAUCUCUUAAAAAAAUUUUUUUUGUACACCAUGGAUACUAAUGUAAUAUUCCUACAAGGGUUUUCCUGCACUCUACAGUAAAACAAGUCAGCCUGGAAGAAUAUGCAAAUGUGACUGUUAUGUUGUUCAGUUUUCAGGGCAAUUAAAUACUUGCUUUGAGCUUCUCAUAUUGCAUUGCAAAUUCCUAUAAAACUUACUAUUCAUUUCUGUACCUAAAGCUUAUUUAGCGUCAAGUCUUUGCCAUUAUUUCCAUUUUAUUGAAAAUUGAGUUUUUAAUUAUGUGUCACAAUCAUGUAUAAUGUGAAUCUUUAUUUGCAAAGUCUUUUUUGGUUCAUGUUAAAUCAAUUACCUUUGUCCCUUUGUUAGUUGGGCAGUGGGAGGCAGCAGUUUCAGAUUUCCUCUAUGAGAAGAUGUCUGCAACUCAUGAUAACAGUGUUGGCUCCUCUAUCUACCCCAGGAACAAAGAACUUUAAUUAGAUAGGCCAGUCUUGUCAGCCUCUGCUGGGCAGGAUCAGGUCUGUAUGAAGCCAAACAACUUCUUAAAAAAUA
rnacentral:lncRNA from 1 species